AUGUGAAAUAGGCCCUUCCAUACACCAAAAAAGUUAUCAAGACAUGUUCAGAGAUAGAAAACUGCAGUUCACUUUUCAAGAUUUAAUGUGUACUAUUGCUCAAUAAAAUUACGGUGUCCUUUAAAUUUUGUUAUUGGCUCCUUGUUCUGCAGAGCUUCAUUUGAAUCUGACAGCCCAACCAGUGCAUGUUGCUUGAUUAUGUGAUUGCAGAGUAAACACAGAAACUAAGUAUGCAACAAGUAAUGAGGUAUACUAUCUACACUAAGGGAUUUGAAAUAGCACCAAUACACAACCUCUGAAGAUAAUUCUCCAAAAGCAUUUCAAUUUCUUCCUCUUCUUCUUCUGCAAUGUCCUUAUCUAGGGGCACCGAGCACUCUAUCUCAUCGUUUUCUUUCUUAAGUACACAAUUUCUCCCAAUUAUACAGAUUUGACGUAUUUCAUGAGUAUCCUCUAGAAUAUCAAGUAGCAUUUGCUUAAGAGCCCCUGCCCUGGAACCCAAUUCCACUAGUUUCUGUUUACUGAUGCGAAGUUCCUCCAAUAUGUCUGCAGUUAAUCGGUUGGGCAAAACCUCAAGUAGUGCUUGGACACGUGGUUCUAAAUCCCACAGCCUAUGUUCCAAUCUUUGUAUCCGUGAAUGCAAUGCUGCUUCAACCACCUCCAAAACAAAUGGCAUAGAUGGUCCUCCAUUUGUGCUUGUAGGAUUUAGCCGUGGUAACAAUGAAUCGAUGAAAGCCUUUCCUCCUAGACGAUUAUAAUUAAAUAUAAGGACUCGCUCUUGCAUUACUAUGGCUCGUAAAGAACCUAGAUUCAAUAGAAUUGCAUGCUCACGGACCAAUAAAGCAGGCAUUGAAUUUGUCAACCAUAAUGACGGAUCAACACUCCUGAUAUCUCGAGGACGUAAUCCACUGGACUUCAGCAAGUGCCUUCUGUUUAUUUUCCUUUUUGCUACCGUCCCACACGUCUUUACCUCCACUACCUCAUAAACAGGUUCACGGAUUCCAAGGGACAACGAAUCGCCACCGGAGGCAGAAGCACUCCUCUGCGAACUAACAGAGUCUCCAUGAGUUACAACCUUAUCAUCAUCUCCCCGAACCUCAUCACCUUCAUCAUUAUCAUCAUCUCCACCGUCCUUCAUCAACGCUUCCAUCUCAGUCGAUUUCGCAACACACUCAACUACUCUCACCUUCCGAGCUCUCAGAGAAAUCGCGUGAUUCUUACGCGAGAACGGAAACUCCAUCUUCGACCGGAAAAUCGCGUAUCCUCCUGUAAUCAAAAAUCGAAACUCCGGCGAUCGAACCGGUAACUGAAGUAAAUACAGAGCAUUUG
rnacentral:misc_RNA from 1 species